AGUUCUCACGAACUGGCAGUGGAGGAAACAAUAUGGGUUAGAGUCCCAUCGCUUCUAGCUGAUCAGUGUUUUUUUUGC
rnacentral:sRNA from 1 species